AGAUUUGUGGAAGCUCUGAUUCAGCUGUGGGGCCACAAGAGGCAGGACUCAGUGACCGUCUCCACCAUGGCCUGGUCCCCUCUCCUCGUCACCCUCAUCGCUCACUGCACAGGAUCCUGGGCCCAGUCUGUGCUGACUCAGCCGCCCUCAGUGUCUAGAGCCCCAGGACAGAGUGUCACCAUCUCCUGUGCUGGAAGCAGCUCCAACAUCGGGGGUAACAGUGUGCAGUGGUACCAGCAGCUCCCAGGAAAGGCCCCCAAACUCCUCAUCUAUGGUGAUGAUGAAAGACCCUCGGGGGUCUCCAACCGAUUCUCUGGCUCCAAGUCUGGCAACUCGGCCUCCCUGACCAUCAGUGGGCUCCAGGCUGAGGACGAGGCCGAUUAUUACUGCGAGUCCUAUGAUGACAGUCUGAGUGGUCGCACAGUGCUCCAGGCCUGUGGGGAAGUGAGACAAAAACCUACUGUCCCAUCUACAUGGGGCUUCCCUCAGCAGCCCUCACUCCUCUGA